AGAUUGAACGCUGGCGGCAUGCCUUACACAUGCAAGUCGAACGGCAGCACGGGAGCAAUCCUGGUGGCGAGUGGCGAACGGGUGAGUAAUAUAUCGGAACGUGCCCAGUAGUGGGGGAUAGCCCGGCGAAAGCCGGAUUAAUACCGCAUACGACCUACGGGUGAAAGCGGGGGAUCGCAAGACCUCGCGCUAUUGGAGCGGCCGAUAUCAGAUUAGCUUGUUGGUAGGGUAAAAGCCUACCAAGGCGACGAUCUGUAGCUGGUCUGAGAGGACGACCAGCCACACUGGGACUGAGACACGGCCCAGACUCCUACGGGAGCAGCAGGUGGGGAAUUUUGGACAAUGGGCGCAAGCCUGAUCCAGCCAUGCCGCGUGGUGGGAAGAAGGUCCUUCGGUUAGUAACCUACGUUUUAGUCGUA
rnacentral:rRNA from 1 species